rnacentral:lncRNA from 1 species
AAUAAAGAAAAAUGGUACUUGUCAAAGUUAUUUACUGUUUGAAAAAUAGACUCUUUAAGGAGUAUUUGUAAAAGUUACAGAAUUUUUAAAAAUGUGUUAGAUUUGCUGCUACUUUAGAAAUUCUAAUUACCUUUUUUAAAAUGCCUUCACAAUCAGUGUUGUUUGCUCCCAACUUUCCUAUUUAGCUUUCACAUUUAAAGCUGCAGUGUCAUUGCACUGGCCUCUGGGGAUGUUUGCUAUCCGACAUACUUUCUGCUCUGUAGUACUUCCCACUCUUUUGCUCUAACUUGGUAGAA